rnacentral:rRNA from 1 species
AUUGAACGCUGGCGGCAGGCUUAACACAUGCAAGUCGAACGAGUGGCGGACGGGUGAGUAAUGCUUGGGAAUCUAGCUUAUGGAGGGGGAUAACUACGGUCAACUGUAGCUACUACCGCGUACCAUAGGAUGAGCCCAAGUGGGAUUAGGUAGUUGGUGAGGUAAAGGCUCAACAAGCCGACGAUCGCUAGCUGGUCUGAGAGGAUGACCAGGAACACUGGGACUGAGACACGUCCCAGACGCCUACGGGAGGCAGCAGUGGGGAAUAUUGCGGAAUGGGGGCAACCUGACGCAGCCAUGCCGCGUGAAUGAAGAAGGCCUUCGGGUUGUAAAGUUCUUUCGGUAGCGAGGCGUUAACUACAGAAGAGGCACCGGCUAACUCCGUGCCAGCAGCCGCGGUAAUAC